CGGGACGUAGCGCAGCCUGGUUAGCGCACCUGCUUCGGGAGCAGGGGGUCGGAGGUUCAAAUCCUCUCGUCCCGA
rnacentral:tRNA from 1 species